AAGAACUGAUUUGAAUCAUCACUGAACUGACUGGAUUAUCGAAAGAAAUGGAUAUCGAAAUGAGUAUGAUGUUAUCUGGAAACCUCUAUCCUCUAAGACCAUUGAACCUGUAUUCUCCCCACCUACAUGCUGGGAUUAUGUGGUACAGAACAGCAUGAAAUGCCCAUUUAUAAUACAUUUGUGUCAAGAAUCCACAGAACACAUGAAAGGCCAAGACAUGAGAUCUAAAUGUACUGGCCAUCAACCUGGUGCUUUGAUUCUUUGGUUCUGUAUCCCGACACCAUCGAAAGGAGACCAACAGCAUAGAUCGGUGAGG